rnacentral:misc_RNA from 1 species
AUCGACUCUUUCAAAUGAUAUUCUUUACCGCGUUCAUACGCCUUGUAAUCAGCUGCGUGUUUAUCCUACGCUUAUUGGUGGAACGCAAUAGGGUUGUCAAGACCCGGUUUAAAACUCACUGAUUCUAGAGCCUCGUUUUCGUCUCUCCGUGAGUAAGACGCUUCCAUGCACGCAGUCUGUGCACACAGUGUGGACCAGUCGUAACAAGGCUUAUUAAUAAACGCUAGAGAAACACUGGUGUGGGAGAUUUGAUAAUUUGUCUCUCCUUCUUCUCAGAGAACGAUUUAUUUUCUACUCGCCUGCCUUCCUGUCAUUGCAUGGGCUACACUUCUUCGCCAGCUUCAGGAUAUUUCCACAUGUGAAAGGUACACCAAAAACAGCACGUGACCUGUGUCCUGCCUGCCUUACACCCCUCUCCAUACCGCCAGCUAUGGCCACCGUAGACUCUGAACCGUUGUCCGGCGAUGGCUCCUCCGUUACUCUUACUAUUCGGUUGAUCAUGCAAGGCAAGGAAGUUGGCAGCAUUAUUGGAAAGAAAGGUGACAACAUAAAGAAAUUCCGUGAAGAGAGUGGAGCCAAAAUUAAUAUUUCUGAUAACUCGUGUCCAGAGCGUAUUGUCACAGUUACAGGAGCCACAGAUGCUAUAUUAAAAGCUUUCACACUUAUUACUAGAAAGUUGGAAGAGGAUUUGCACAACACUCCUGGUUUCAAUGUUCCCAAGCCUCCAGUCACCCUUCGGCUCAUUGUUCCAGCCAGCCAGUGUGGCUCGCUUAUUGGAAAAGGAGGAUCAAAGAUUAAAGAAAUUAGAGAAAUUACAGGGGCAUCUAUACAAGUGGCAAGUGAGAUGUUGCCCAACUCUACAGAGAGAGCAGUUACUAUUUCAGGGACAGCUGAUGCAAUCACGAAAUGUAUCUACCAAACCUGUUGUGUGAUGAUGGAGUCCUCUCCAAAGGGAGCAACAAUACCAUACCGUCCAAAGCCAACAAUGCCACCAGUAAUAUUUGCAGGUGGUCAGGCCUACACUGUUCAGGGGCAGUAUGCUAUCCCACAUCCUGAUGUUAGUAUAUGGUCACCGCUAACCAAGCUACAUCAGUUAGCUCUACAAAAUGCCCCACUUUUACCAACUCAUGCUCUUGGAACUCUAACUGCUCAAGACAUGAAUAAGAAACUGGAGCUGUAUGCUGAUGCAGGAUUGCUUAUGUCACCAGCUUUAGCUUCACUUGCAGCACACGGCAGUCUACGUCCUGGUACUUCUGCCACUCCCAACAUCAUUGCACCUGGAACUGUAACAGAAAUGAAUAUUCCAAAUGAUCUGAUUGGCUGUGUUAUUGGCAAAGGUGGAGCUAAAAUAAAUGAAAUUAGGCAACUCUCUGGGGCCACUAUAAAGAUCUCCAAUUCAGAUGAAAGUUCCAAAGACAGAACUGUGUCAAUAUCUGGAACACCUGAAGCCAUUAACUUAGCACAAUACUUGAUCAAUACAAGCAUCCAGAAUGCUCAGCUUCCAUUCAUUUGGAGAAACAUGGCUUCCAUUCCAAUGAAAUAAGAAACAAUUUAAAAGUUUUCCCGAAUCCCUUGGAUUGUUAUUUCUAUCAUAGUCAUUGGUUAGGCCACAUUUGAAGUACUGUGUUCAGUCUUGGGAUUUUUACCUUACAAAGGAUAUUCAUUUGUUGGAGAGGAUUCAAAUGAGGGCUACUGGGAUGGAAAUGUUGUCAUUACAAGAACAG